ACCUCCAUUCAAAACCAUCCCCCCCCUGCUCCCACACCAGAAAACAUACACAUGACACCUGCUUUUAAAGAGGCCAUGGAGAAAUGGCUGAGUGACCGACUGGCCCAGAAUGAGAGAUGGGACGUGAAACAGUUGAUAAAGGAUUGCAGUCGUCCAUUGGCGGACCGACUGCCUGACUUUGCCUUGGAGUCUCAAGGUGGCAGUAUUGUAACCAGCAGAUGCUCUGAGACGUAUCAGACCCGUUCGGCCUGCGUGAGCUUCCUGGGGAUUCCCCUGUGGUAUCCUGCAGAGAC